CUGUUCACUAAAUGUAUAUGUAUAUGUAUAUGUAUAUGUAUAUGUAUAUGCAUAUGCAUAUGCAUAUGUACAGUA